GGUCAGGGACAUAGCCAUGUAUUACGAGAUUAGGCCGAUCAGAGAAUGCCAAUUAUUAAUUAAUAAUAAAAGAGGUAUCGAAUCUUUGCUUUAACAACUUUCAAAGUUGCACUAGCAUUAGCAGGAGGAGGAGCACUAGUAGAAAGAACCUCUCUCAGAUGUCCAUAAAGAUGUUAUCCAAGUUAUUCAAAAGGAAGUCGAUAAAGAUUCAUCCCCUGCUCUUAGUGCUAGCUCUUUAUGCCUGGCACUGAAGAAGAAAGAUCG
rnacentral:lncRNA from 1 species